GAUGAAGAACGCAGCGAAAUGCGAUAAGUAAUGUGAAUUGCAGAAUUCAGUGAAUCAUCGAAUCUUUGAACGCACAUUGCGCCCGCCAGCAUUCUGGCGGGCAUGCCUGUUCGAGCGUCAUUACAACCCUCAGGCCCCCGGGCCUGGCGUUGGGGAUCGGCGGAGCCCCCCGUGGGCACACGCCGUCCCCCAAAUACAGUGGCGGUCCCGCCGCAGCUUCCAUCGCGUAGUAGCUAACACCUCGCGACUGGAGAGCGGCGCGGCCACGCCGUAAAACACCCAACUCUUCUGAAGUUGACCUCGAAUCAGGUAGGAAUACCCGCUGAACUUAAGCAUAUCAAUAAGCGGAGGA
rnacentral:misc_RNA from 1 species